UUGGAGGGCAGUCUGGUGCCAGCAGCCGCGGCAAUUCCAGCUCCAAUAGCGUAUAUUAAAGUUGUUGCAGUUAAAAAGCUCGUAGUUGAAUUUCGGGAUCAAAUUGUCGGUCGUGCCUAGGUACGCACUGGUGUUAUUGGUUCCUACCUUCUGAAGAACCGCGAUGUCAUUAAUUUGGUGUCGUGGGGAAUCAGGACUGUUACUUUGAAAAAAUUAGAGUGUUUAAAGCAGGCUUACGCUUGAAUACAUUAGCAUGGAAUAAUGAAAUAGGACGUUUGAUUCUAUUUUGUUGGUUUCUAGGAUUGACGUAAUGAUUAAUAGGGAUAGUUGGGGGCAUUAGUAUUCAAUUGUCAGAGGUGAAAUUCUUGGAUUUAUUGAAGACUAACUACUGCGGAAGCAUUUGCCAAGGAUGUUUUCAUUAAUCAAGAACGAAAGUUAGGGGAUCGAAGACGAUCAGAUACCGUCGUAGUCUUAACCAUAAACUAUGCCGACUAGGGAUCGGAUGAUGUUAAUUUUUUAAUGACUCAUUCGGCGCCUUACGGGAAAC
rnacentral:rRNA from 1 species